rnacentral:rRNA from 1 species
UACGUAGGGGGCAAGCGUUGUCCGGAAUCAUUGGGCGUAAAGCGCGUGUAGGCGGCUCGGUAAGUCCGCUCUGAAAGGCUUGGGCUCAACCCGAGAUGGCCGUUGGAAACUGUCGUUCUUGAGGGUCGAAGAGGAGAGUGGAAUUCCUGGUGUAGCGGUGAAAUGCGUAGAGAUCAGGAGGAACACCCAUGGCGAAGGCAGCUCUCUGGUCGACCUCUGACGCUGAGACGCGAAAGCGUGGGGAGCGAACGGG